AUUGAACGCUGGCGGCAUGCCUUACACAUGCAAGUCGAACGGUAACGGGCCUUCGGGUGCCGACGAGUGGCGAACGGGUGAGUAAUGUAUCGGAACGUACCUUUCAGUGGGGGAUAACGUAGCGAAAGUUACGCUAAUACCGCACAUUCUGUGAGCAAGAAAGCAGGGGAUCGCAAGACCUUGCGCUGAUUGAGCGGCCGAUAUCAGAUUAGCUAGUUGGUGAGGUAAAGGCUCACCAAGGCGACGAUCUGUAGCGGGUCUGAGAGGAUGAUCCGCCACACUGGAACUGAGACACGGUCCAGACUCCUACGGGAGGCAGCAGUGGGGAAUUUUGGACAAUGGGGGCAACCCUGAUCCAGCCAUGCCGCGUGAGUGAAGAAGGCCUUCGGGUUGUAAAGCUCUUUCGGCCGGGAAGAAAUCGUAUCAGCUAAUACCUGGUGCGGAUGACGGUACCGGCAUAAGAAGCACCGGCUAACUACGUGCCAGCCGCCGCCGUAAUAC
rnacentral:rRNA from 1 species